rnacentral:rRNA from 1 species
CCUACGGGGGGCAGCAGUGGGGAAUAUUGCACAAUGGGGGAAACCCUGAUGCAGCGACGUCGCGUGCGUGAUGAAGUAUUUCGGUAUGGAAAGCUCUAUCAGCAGGGAAGAAAAUGACGGUACCUGAAUAAGAAGCCCCGGCUAACUCCGUGCCAGCAGCCGCGGUAAUACGUAGGGGGCAAGCGUUAUCCGGAUUUACUGGGUGUAAAGGGAGCGUAGACGGCGGUGCAAGCCAGAUGUGAAAGCCCGGUGCUCAACACCGGGACUGCAUUUGUAACUGUGCUGCUAGAGUGUCGGAGAGGCAGGCGGAAUUCCUAGUGUAGCGGUGAAAUGAGUAGAUAUUAGGAGGAACACCAGUGGCGAAGGCGGCCUGCUGGACG